GCAGGUAGCCUAGUGGUUAGAAGGGGAGGCAGGUAGCCUAGUGGUUAGAAGGGGGAGGCAGGUAGCCCAGUGGUUAGAAGGGGGAGGCAGGUAGCCCAGUGGUUAGAAGGGGAGGCAGGUAGCCUAGUGGUUAGAAGGGGGAGGCAGGUAGCCCAGUGGUUAGAAGGGGGAGGCAGGUAGCCCAGUGGUUAGAAGGGGGAGGCAGGUAGCCUAGUGGUUAGAAGGGGGAGGCAGGUAGCCCAGUGGUUAGAAGGGGGAGGCAGGUAGCCUAGUGGUUAGAAGGGGGAGGCAGGUAGCCCAGUGGUUAGAGGGGGAAUUUGAAAAUAAGAACUGCCAAGUUAAAUAAAGGUAAAAAAAAUAAAAUAAUAACAUGGGCAUUACAGGCAUAAUUUACAUUCUAGGCAAAUGAGAGGUAUUUAAGUCCUGACAUGCAUGUGCAAGUCAACUUUCAGGAAAAUUCAGCACUGUUAUAUAAUGUGUUAAUGUAUAAAGUUAAUGUAUGUAUAAUGUGUGUAUAAUGUAUGUAUGUAUAAUGUAUAAAGUUCAAGCUAAUGUUCCAGCUCUCCCACCAGAGUGACUAUGGGGAGACUGAGGCUCACCCACCAGAGUGACUAUGGGGAGACUGAGGCUCACCCACCAGAGGGCUGAGCGCGCUCCCACCAGAGUGACUAUGGGGAGACUGAGGCUC